GCCUGAGUGGCUCAGUCAGUUAAGCAUCUGACUUUGGCUCAGGUCACAAUCUCAGGGUCCUGGGUUCAAGUCCCAUUUCUGGUU
rnacentral:tRNA from 1 species